CUAGACUGAUGGCGACCGGCGCACGGGUGAGUAACACGUAUCCAACCUGCCCUUUACUCAGGGAUAGCCUUUCGAAAGAAAGAUUAAUACCCGAUAGCAUAAUGAUUCCGCAUGGUUUCAUUAUUAAAGGAUUCCGGUAAAGGAUGGGGAUGCGUUCCAUUAGGUUGUUGGUGGGGUAACGGCCCACCAAGCCUUCGAUGGAUAGGGGUUCUGAGAGGAAGGUCCCCCACAUUGGAACUGAGACACGGUCCAA
rnacentral:rRNA from 1 species